rnacentral:rRNA from 1 species
UACGGGGGGGGCAAGCGUUGUUCGGAUUUACUGGGCGUAAAGAGCGCGCAGGCGGUCGUUCAAGUCGCGUGUGAAAGCCCCCGGCUCAACUGGGGAGGGUCACGCGAUACUGAUCGACUCGAAGGCAGGAGAGGGUAGUGGAAUUCCCGGUGUAGUGGUGAAAUGCGUAGAUAUCGGGAGGAACACCAGUGGCGAAGGCGACUACCUGGCCUGUUUCUUGACGCUGAGGCGCGAAAGCUAGGGGAGCAAACGGG